AAAUCGCUACUCAGUUGUAAAGAUAGAGAUUACAGAAUUGGUAAUCAAACGAAUCACCAUCAAAGACUGACAAAAAAUAUAAAUUAGGUAUAUGUUAGUCAUAAAAUCCCUAUCAGAAGAUAAACCCAAUCUUCAGGAUAGUGGUAAAUCAUAAAAAUCAUAUAAUUGUUGACAUGUGGUGGUAUGUGGGAUUGCUAUUUUUAUCCAAAGCAUGCCACAAUCUGUGAAACAAUCGAAAUAGUCAAAUCACACCUCAAAAUUCCUCGAUUCAAACCAAACGAAAAACACACCAAAACUAAGGUAGAGUUGAAAGAACCAAUAAUUAGGAAUAUAUNNNNNNNNNNNNNNNNNNNNNNNNNNNNNNNNNNNNNNNNNNNNNNNNNNAUAUAUAUAUAUAUAUAUAUAUAUCACUGGGAGAAAAAAAACCACAAACAUAAAAAAAAAAAACCAAACCCCUGCUAGCAUACAGGAAAUCAAUAAUCAAACGAAUCACCAACAAAGACCGACAAAAAAUAUAAAUUAGGUAUAUGUUAGUCAUAAAAUCUCUAUCAGAAGAUAAACUCAGUCUUCAGGAUAGUGGUAAAUCAUACAAAUCAUAUAACUGGUAGAACAAUUCAACUCUUAGCAUUAAACUAUAACAGUAGUUUGCAAUUUUAUGACCUUACAAUUUUAUUGGCAUACUCACAUAUUCAAUAUGUGAAACAAUCGAAACGGCCAAAUCACACCUCGGAAUUCCUCGAUUCAAACCAAACGAAAAACACACCAAAACUAAGGUAGAGUUGAAAGAACCAAUAAUCAGGAAAAUAUAUAUAUAUAUAUAUAUCACUUGGAGAAAAAAAAAACCACAAACAUAAAAAAAACCAAACCCCUGGAAAUCAAUAACAAUUGACAACGGAUUCCCAACAUUAUUACCCUAAAGAAUUCCCAGAUUAUUGACAAUUUCAUAACCUAACAACAAACAAAACUCAAACAUAAUCUCCACCACAGCAAAAGAAAUCGAAACAUAAAUGGAGAAUAUGGCAUCGGAUUAUUUAAAAGAAGUACCUCUUUGGUUUAUACUAAGUGACGAUAGAAGAAAUCCAGACGACGCAAAGCAAAAUCGAAUGUUUUAAAAGGUCACUGAGACUUUUAAAAGUUAUUUUCUACAUACUCUUGUUCUACAUUCACUUCUUCAUCAGCAUCAGAAUCAUCCUCAAAGGACAACUUCAUGGAAUUCAUAAACUUCAAUCACAAUCCGAUAAAUAUAAUGUGUAUAAAUAAUAAA
rnacentral:lncRNA from 1 species